CAUGCCAGUCGAGCGGCAGCACGGGUACUUGUACCUGGUGGCGAGCGGCGGACGGGUGAGUAAUGCCUAGGAAUCUGCCUAGUAGUGGGGGAUAACGUCCGGAAACGGGCGCUAAUACCGCAUACGUCCUACGGGAGAAAGUGGGGGAUCUUCGGACCUCACGCUAUUAGAUGAGCCUAGGUCGGAUUAGCUAGUUGGUGAGGUAAUGGCUCACCAAGGCUACGAUCCGUAACUGGUCUGAGAGGAUGAUCAGUCACACUGGAACUGAGACACGGUCCAGACUCCUACGGGAGGCAGCAGUGGGGAAUAUUGGACAAUGGGCGAAAGCCUGAUCCAGCCAUGCCGCGUGUGUGAAGAAGGUCUUCGGAUUGUAAAGCACUUUAAGUUGGGAGGAAGGGCAGUUACCUAAUACGUGAUUGUUUUGACGUUACCGACAGAAUAAGCACCGGCUAACUCUGUGCCAGCAGCCGCGGUAAUACAGAGGGUGCAAGCGUUAAUCGGAAUUACUGGGCGUAAAGCGCGCGUAGGUGGUUUGUUAAGUUGGAUGUGAAAAGCCCCGGGCUCAACCUGGGAACUGCAUCCAAAACUGGCAAGCUAGAGUAUGGUAGAGGGUGGUGGAAUUCCCUG
rnacentral:rRNA from 1 species